rnacentral:tRNA from 1 species
UGGCUUAGUCGGUACAGCGCAAGGCUCUUAACCUUGAGGUUUUGGGUUCGAGCCCCAC